rnacentral:rRNA from 1 species
UACGUAGGGGGCAAGCGUUGUCCGGAAUCAUUGGGCGUAAAGAGCGUGUAGGCGGCCCGGUAAGUCCGCUGUAAAAGUCAAAGGCUCAACCUUUGAAUGUCAGUGGAUACUGCCGGGCUAGAGUCCGGAAGAGGAGAGUGGAAUUCCUGGUGUAGCGGUGAAAUGCGCAGAUAUCAGGAAGAACACCCGUGGCGAAGGCGGCUCUCUGGGACGGUACUGACGCUGAGGAGCGAAAGCGUGGGGAGCGAACAGG